rnacentral:rRNA from 1 species
GACGAACGCUGGCGGCGUGCUUAACACAUGCAAGACGAACGCUGAAGCUUGGUGCUUGCACUGGGUGGAUGAGUGGCGAACGGGUGAGUAAUACGUGAGUAACCUGCCCUUGACUCUGGGAUAAGCCUGGGAAACUGGGUCUAAUACUGGAUAUGACAUGCCACUGCAUGGUGGUGUGUGGAAAGGGUUUUACUGGUUUUGGAUGGGCUCACGGCCUAUCAGCUUGUUGGUGGGGUAAUGGCCUACCAAGGCGACGACGGGUAGCCGGCCUGAGAGGGUGACCGGCCACACUGGGACUGAGACACGGCCCAGACUCCUACGGGAGGCAGCAGUGGGGAAUAUUGCACAAUGGGCGGAAGCCUGAUGCAGCGACGCCGCGUGAGGGAUGACGGCCUUCGGGUUGUAAACCUCUUUCAGCACGGAAGAAGCGAGAGUGACGGUACGUGCAGAAGAAGCGCCGGCUAACUACGUG